rnacentral:tRNA from 1 species
GCGGGCGUAGGUCAGUGGUAGACCGUCACCUUCCCAAGGUGAAUGCCACGGGUUCGAAUCCCGUCGCCCGCU